UGGGGCUCAACUCCGGUUGGGCAGUGGAAACUGAAAGGCUAGAGUGCAGUAGGGGUAGAGGGAAUUCCCAGUGUAGCGGUGAAAUGCGUAGAUAUUGGGAAGAACACCAGUGGCGAAGGCGCUCUACUGGGCUGCAACUGACGCUGAGGGACGAAAGCUAGGGGAGCGAAAGGGAUUAGAUACCCCUGUAGUCCUAGCCGUAAACGAUGGACACUAGGUGUUGGCCGUAUCGACCCGGUCAGUAUCGUAGCUAACGCGUUAAGUGUCCCGCCUGGGGAGUACGCACGCAAGUGUGAAACUCUAAGGAAUUGACGGGGGCCCGCACAAGCGGUGGAGUAUGUGGUUUAAUUCGAUGCAACGCGAAGAACCUUACCAGGGUUUGACAUCCCGCGAACCUUCCUGAAAGGGGAGGGUGCCUUCGGGAGCGCGGAGACAGGUGGUGCAUGGCUGUCGUCAGCUCGUGUCGUGAGAUGUUGGGUUAAGUCCCGCAACGAGCGCAACCCUCGUCUUUAGUUGCCAUCAUUGAGUUGGGCACUCUAGAGAGACUGCCGGGGACAACUCGGAGGAAGGUGGGGAUGACGUCAAGUCAUCAUGCCCCUUACAUCCUGGGCUACACACGUACUACAAUGCUGCGGACAAAGGGCAGCGAACUCGUGAGGGUAAGCUAAUCUCAUAAACCGUGGCUCAGUUCAGAUCGCAGGCUGCAACUCGCCUGCGUGAAG
rnacentral:rRNA from 1 species